UACAGAGGUCUCAAGCGUUGUUCGGAUUUCAUUUGGGCGUUAAAGGGUGCGUAGGUGGCGCCGUAAGUCGGGUGUGAAAUUUCGGGAGCUUAAACUUCCGAAACUGCAUUCGAUAACUGCGGUGCUUGAGGACUGGAGAGGAGACUGGAAUUCAUGGUGUAGCAGUGAAAUGCGUAGAGAUCAAUGAGGAAGACCAGUGGCGAAGGCGG
rnacentral:rRNA from 1 species